CAUUAUAAUGGUGGGAUCUGGGCUCCCACAUGAGCUAAGCUUCAGGGCAGAGAGGUGGAGGCUGGAUUCCCAAACACAAGAUGAGCAAUUGAGUGGAGCCACAAAUAGCAACACUAAUAACAAUAACACAACAACGACAUGGGCAUUAAGCUCUGUAUGUUUCCAAAGCCUCAGUCUCCUCGUCUGUAAAACUUAACCAUCUCUCUCUGUAACACCAGCUUGCUUUAAAGGUAUGUUUAUUAAUUAAACACUUUGCACAGAACUGGGAGGUGAGGGAAGGGUGGAUGGUCGGCUUUCCAGGAAAGCCGACAAAGGCAAGGAAUUGGGUGCGGUUUUUCCUAGGUCAGGCUCCUGCCAGUCUCAGCUUGGGGCCCUGUGGCCUUGGUUCACUCAGCCCAUUGACAUGCAGAGAGAAGGCACACUUUCUACAACUCGCAAUUCUCUACUUCUGAUCUCCAUGCAUACCCUUUUGAGGUACCUUGAAGCAAAUAGUGAGUCAAACCAAGGGCGAUCCCAGAACUGUGCCCCAGUUGCGGUGAGUCAGUUCUCCCCAAAGUUUCUCUACUUUUCCUCACCCAACAUGACAGCUAAUACUAUUCAAAGAUGCUACACCAUGAUCUCACAUCCCAUGUACUGUUUUUACAGUGGAAUGUUGCCUUCCCCAUCAAAGAUAGAGUCUAUGUCCCCUCCCUUCGAAUCUGGGUGGGCUUGUGACUAUGAGGAAAUUAUGCUCUGUGGCUUCUGAGGCUAGAUCUAUAAAAUCAAUACACUUGCCUGCCCCCUCUCUCAGGACACAUGCCUUGGGAUCCCUGACCACCAAUAAGAAAUGCUUCCAUGAAGCCGCCAUGCUGGAGAGACCACAUGGGGAUAGAGAGAGAUGCCCAGGUGUUCCAACCCCUUGACAUAU
rnacentral:lncRNA from 1 species